GGGGAUUAGCUCAGCUGGUAGAGCGCCUGCUUUGCACGCAGGAGGUCAACGGUUCGACUCCGUUAGUCUCCA
rnacentral:tRNA from 1 species